rnacentral:rRNA from 1 species
GAUGAACGCUGGCGGCGUGCCUAACACAUGCAAGUCGAACGAAGCACUUUAGCUUGAUUCUUCGGAUGAAGGCUAAUGUGACUGAGUGGCGGACGGGUGAGUAACGCGUGGGUAACCUGCCUCAUACAGGGGGAUAACAGUUAGAAAUGACUGCUAAUACCGCAUAAGACCACAGGGUCGCAUGACUCGGUGGGAAAAACUCCGGUGGUAUGAGAUGGACCCGCGUCUGAUUAGGUAGUUGGUGGGGUAACGGCCUACCAAGCCGACGAUCAGUAGCCGACCUGAGAGGGUGACCGGCCACAUUGGGACUGAGACACGGCCCAAACUCCUACGGGAGGCAGCAGUGGGGAAUAUUGCACAAUGGGGGAAACCCUGAUGCAGCGACGCCGCGUGAGCGAAGAAGUAUUUCGGUAUGUAAAGCUCUAUCAGCAGGGAAGAAAAUGACGGUACCUGACUAAGAAGCACCGGCUAAAUACGUGCCAGCAGCCGCGGUAA